UUGUCUUUUUUCUCAUUUUUUUCAAAUACGUAUUUGAACAAAAUGAAAAUGAGAAAAAAGACAAUUUGUGCAACUAAGUAAAAUAUAUUGUUGUAGUGUAUAUACCAUUAAAUUCAUGAUAUGAAUUGGUAUAUACCAUUCAAUUCAUGAUAUUCAUUUGAGCGCCGAACAUCCGCAAAAUUUUAUAUCCGCCACGAUGGGUGGCAAAAAGAUGUAAACAAAUGUAAAAAUUGUAAAAAGCUGUUGGGCACCAUACUGUGAAAACAGAAAAAUUGAAGGUAGCACAAUUCCUUCUCAUAGGUUUUCGAAAGAAGAAGAACGAAGAAGGUUAUGAAUUGUUUUUUUAAACAGAAAAAUUUUGCCGAAUUUGGAGUUUGCUUACAUUUGCGGUGAACAUUUUAUUACUGGAAGAAAAUAUGUUUAUAAAAAUCAUGCUGACUUUGUUCCUUCCAUUAAAAAAGUUAACAAAAACAAUAACGAUAUACCUCUUGAAUUUAAUGACAUGUCAUGUUAUUCAUCAAGGCAAAUAUAUUCAGAAAGAUUAAAUUGUUUAAAGAAGAGGAAUAAUGAAAAAGUGCUUAUUGAAGAGAAUAGUAUUAAAUGUUGUUUGCUAGAAAAAAUUGUUGAAGAAUCCAAAACUGUCAAAAUUAUAAGGGAGAUAGGAAAAGAAAUUGAGAAGUUAAAAAACUCAAUUAAAAAACUAAAAGAAGACAGUAAAGUAGAGAUUGAUUUUCUAUUUUGAUGAGGCUACUUUUAAAUUAAUAAAAGACAAAAAGAAAAUUCAAUUUUAUACAGGUCUUCCUGAUAUAAAUGUUUUUAACAUGUUUUUAACUUAAUUGAAAACCAUGUGCCAGCUAAUAAUUCUUCAACUAUGAUAAAGUUUGUAUUGUUUUAAUGAAACUGCGUCUAAGUUUGCUGGAACAAGAUAAAGCGUACAGUUUUGGUAUAAGUCAACCAACUAUAUCACAAAUUUUUGAGAAAGGCUUCUUGUAAUGGCACGCAUACUAUCCUUUUUGAUAAAGUGGCCAGAGUGAGAUAUAUAAAGGAGAACAAUGCCAACUUGUUUUCGAGAAUUUUUUCCUAAAUGUUAAAACAUGUUAAAUGUUCGAGAAUUUUUUCCUAAAUGUUAAAUGGAAAAGUAUUUGACGUUUAUGUUACAGAAAAUUCUGGAAUAUUAAAUAAUCUAUUUAUUGGUGAUCAGGUGUUAGCAGGCAUAGGUUUUACCAUUGCAGAUUCCGUUGGUUUAUAUUGUGCCAAAUGAAAACUUCUUGCCUUUACACGAGUAAAGUCUCAGCUAUCUCAAAUAGAAGUUGAUUGGACGCAAGAGAUUGCCCGUGUACAAAUACAAGUUGAACAUUUAAUUGGGCUCCUUAAAAAUAAAUACACAAUUUUACAAGGAAUACUUCCUAAUAAACUAAUUAGUCGAGCAGAUGAUAAAAUAUGUAAACUAAAUGAUAUUUUAAAUGUUUGCUCUGUUUUAUGUAAACCUUUAUGUAACCUUUGUCGUGGAGUAAUCCCUAUUGAUUGACUUUUAUUUUAAUAUAUAAAAAUACAUAAA